rnacentral:rRNA from 1 species
AUAGCAUAUAUUAAAGUUGUUGCAGUUAAAAAGCUCGUAGUUGGAUUUCUGGGAGGGUGCCAAUGUCCGUUUGAUACGUGUGCAGCGGUGCCCUUCCAUCCUUCUGUUAACGUUUCUUGGUAUUAACUUACUGGUUGCGGGCUCAGAUAUUUUACCUUGAGAAAAUUAGAGUGUUUCAGGCAGGCUUGCGCCCGAAUACAUUAGCAUGGAAUAAUAGAAUAGGACUUUGGUCUCCUUUGUUGGUUUGAGGGACUGGAGUAAUGAUUAAUAGGGACAGUUGGGGGCAUUAGUAUUUAAUUGUCAGAGGUGAAAUUCUCGGAUUUAUUGAAGACUAACUACUG